rnacentral:rRNA from 1 species
GAGGCAGCAGUGGGGAAUAUUGCGCAAUGGACGGAAGUCUGACGCAGCGACGCCGCGUGAGCGAUGAAGGCCUUCGGGUCGUAAAGCUCUGUUCUUGGGGACGAAAGGAUGACGGUACCCAAGGAGCAAGCCCCGGCUAACUACGUGCCAGCAGCCGCGGUAAUACGUAGGGGGCGAGCGUUGUCCGGAAUUACUGGGCGUAAAGGGCGUGUAGGCGGCUGAAUAAGUCAGGUGUGAAAGGCCCCGGCUUAACCGGGGUAUUGCACAUGAAACUGUUCGGCUUGAGUGCAGGAGAGGGAAGUGGAAUUCCUAGUGUAGCGGUGAAAUGCGUAGAUAUUAGGAGGAACACCAGUGGCGAAGGCGACUUUCUGGACUGUAACUGACGCUGAGGCGCGAAAGCGUGGGGAGCAAACAGGAUUAGAUACCCUGGUAGUCCACGCUGUAAACGAUGGAUACUAGGUGUGGGCAGUUCAC